GAUGACACCGCACUUGGGCUAUCAAACUGUACUUUUUUUCUUCCUCCCACCACUCUUAAGGAGACAGCUGGGAAAUCAUCUCUGCUGGAGAACUCUUCAGACUAUGCAGAGAUUCUGUCUCUAUCCUGGAUGGUAAUCAAUGAAAAAGGAAGAGAAACACUCGUACGAAGCCCUUCGCCUACAAAGUCCACAGGGAGAUGGCCUGUGAUCAACAGCGCGGAAGUGAGCUAAGAGGUCCUGAAGGAGCACAACUGUACCCUUUUCAUAGUGCAAAUUCUGAACCAGUUCAAAGAGAAGGUGUAGAAGCAAGGCAGACAGGGAUAACAACACUACCUGCAUCACUGAAAAUCCUUGGAAAUGCAAAACGGUUCAUGCCUGUGGGUCAACAGGCAGAGCCUCCAAACCAUGCCAUGCCUACAAGACCCAAUACAGGUGACAGUUCCCGAGAGAAUGGCUAAUAUGCCACCUCUGCCUCCCAAGUACUGGGGUUACAGGCAGCCAUCAGCACACCAGUUAAUAUGUUGCUAGAGAUUGGCCAAGGUCUCAUGUACAUAGGCAAGUACUAGACCAAGUAAACUACAUCCUGACACCCUGCUCGUCUGGAGACAUAUCUCACUAUGGAACCCAGGUUGGCCUUAAAUUUGUGGUUCACCUGCAUCUGCCGCUCAAAAGCUGGGGUUACCGGCCUCUGCCACCUCAGUUUACAACAGGAAAUUUGAAGAUAGAAAAUCAUUCUAGGGGGUAGUAAAGUGUUUUUGGUACAAGAAUGGAUAGCAGAACCCAUGUAAAUGUCAAGUGGAGUGACACAUACCCACCAUCCUGGUGUUGCGUAAGCAGAGACUGGACUAUCUCUGGAGUUCAUUGUCCAUCCAGUCAAACUGAAUCCAUGAGUUCCAAGUUCAAUGAGAAACCUUACCUCAAAAAGUCAGGUGGGGAGCAACAGAGGAAGACGUUCAACAUUGACUUCUGAUUUCCGCACAAUAUGAUUCUGACUAUAUAAUACCCAUAAAAUUACUAGAAUGGACUGAAUUCUAAUUCUAUUUUUCCUUAGGUACCAGCUCUCUCACUUUGGGAUAGUUGAUAAUUUCACUGAUAAAUGGGCAUUAUAUUUAAAUCAGAAGGUAUGCAUGGCAUUUAAAAAGCUGGUAGAGAAAUUUCUUAACACAUGACUAAUACUAGGUAUUCUCUAGUUUCCUCUACUUCUCUUGGUGCUAUUCACUUUACACACACACACACACACACACACACACACAUGCACAUGCAUGCACACAAUAUAUAUGUGUAUAUAUAUGUGUUGUAUAUAUGUGUAUAUAUAUAUAUAUCCACAACAUAUAUGGAUAUAUAUCCAAGCAAAUAUAUAUGUAUACAUUAAAAUGAAUAUAUUUAAAUGUAUAUGUGUUAUAAUAAAUUUAUAUUCAAGAUGAAUAUAUAUGUGUAUAUAUACAAGUAUAUGUAUGUAUAUAUAUUUAUAUAAAAGAGGACAUGAAGCUAGAAGAAAUGUGGGGUUGGGGUACCAGGGGAAGUUGAAAGAAGGUAGGUAGUGGAUGAAUAUGGUAAAUAUACAUUGUAUAACUUUCAAAUAAUAAAAAUUAUUAUUUAAAAA